UUUCUCUUCGCGGAGAAUCAAAUCGCAUCAGUGGGCGACUGCAAACACACGCAGCCUCCUCUCUGUCUCUCCUGCCGCUGUCAUCAGGGACAAAAACCACCAGUAAACACUCACCACACCUGGAUCUAUCUCUCAAAGCCGUAUAUUUUCACCUGAUGUGAGAGAGUGUUUUACAGGGAGCAGUGAUGGGCGCGUUUGGAGUGAUUCUGAGGAGUUUACAUUGUAUGGGACUCUAUAUCCAACUUAGUGCCAGUCUCAGACAAGCUGGAAGCGACGACGUGGAGAACCACAUAUCCAGCAACGCGGUCUUCACAGAGGUCCCUCAUGACAUCACGGCACAGAGCGGGCAGGACGUGGAGAUGGCCUGCUCGUUUCGAGGGGCGGGCUCGCCGUCCUAUUCACUGGAGAUUCAGUGGUGGUACAUCAGGAACCACAGAGAAUGGACGGACAAGCAGACGUGGACCACCAAUCAGGUGGUGCCACAGAAUGAGAUGUCAAAGGACGCCACCAAAAUCAGUGUAAGUUUGUGAUUUCCUCAUCGUGAACGUCUCUUUCGUGUUCGUUCGCGGCUGCUGUCAUCAGCUGCUCAGUGAGAGAUAAUAAAAGUACAUGGUGUGUGUGUUU